AGAUGGGAGCUUGCUCCCUGAUGUUAGCGGCGGACGGGUGAGUAACACGUGGGUAACCUGCCUGUAAGACUGGGAUAACUCCGGGAAACCGGGGCUAAUACCGGAUGCUUGUUUGAACCGCAUGGUUCAAACAUAAAAGGUGGCUUCGGCUACCACUUACAGAUGGACCCGCGGCGCAUUAGCUAGUUGGUGAGGUAAUGGCUCACCAAGGCAACGAUGCGUAGCCGACCUGAGAGGGUGAUCGGCCACACUGGGACUGAGACACGGCCCAGACUCCUACGGGAGGCAGCAGUAGGGAAUCUUCCGCAAUGGACGAAAGUCUGACGGAGCAACGCCGCGUGAGUGAUGAAGGUUUUCGGAUCGUAAAGCUCUGUUGUUAGGGAAGAACAAGUACCGUUCGAAUAGGGCGGUACCUUGACGGUACCUAACCAGAAAGCCACGGCUAACUACGUGCCAGCAGCCGCGGUAAUACGUAGGUGGCAAGCGUUGUCCGGAAUUAUUGGGCGUAAAGGGCUCGCAGGCGGUUCCUUAAGUCUGAUGUGAAAGCCCCCGGCUCAACCGGGGAGGGUCAUUGGAAACUGGGGAACUUGAGUGCAGAAGAGGAGAGUGGAAUUCCACGUGUAGCGGUGAAAUGCGUAGAGAUGUGGAGGAACACCAGUGGCGAAGGCGACUCUCUGGUCUGUAACUGACGCUGAGGAGCGAAAGCGUGGGGAGCGAA
rnacentral:rRNA from 1 species